rnacentral:rRNA from 1 species
UACGGGGGGGGGCAAGCGUUGUUCGGAAUUAUUGGGCGUAAAGAGCUCGUAGGCGGUGUGUCGCGUCGGCCGUGAAAACCUGCAGCUUAACUGUGGGCUUGCGGUCGAUACGGGCAUCACUGGAGUUCGGCAGGGGAGACUGGAAUUCCUGGUGUAGCGGUGAAAUGCGCAGAUAUCAGGAGGAACACCGGUGGCGAAGGCGGGUCUCUGGGCCGAUACUGACGCUGAGGAGCGAAAGCGUGGGGAGCGAACAGG